rnacentral:rRNA from 1 species
CGGGGGGAGCAAGCGUUGUUCGGAUUUACUGGGCGUAAAGGGCGCGUAGGCGGCCACGACAAGUCAGUUGUGAAAUCUCUGGGCUUAACUCAGAACGGUCAACUGAUACUGUCGGGCUAGAGUGCAGAAGGGGCAACUGGAAUUCUCGGUGUAGCGGUGAAAUGCGUAGAUAUCGAGAGGAACACCUGCGGCGAAAGCGGGUUGCUGGGCCGACACUGACGCUGAGGCGCGAAAGCUAGGGGAGCGAACGGGAUUAGAUACCCCGGUAGUCCUAGCCUUAAACGAUGAAUGCUUGGUGUCUCGGGUUUUAUAGUCCCGAGGUGCCGUCGCUAACGCAUUAAGCAUUCCGCCUGGGGAGUACGGUCGCAAGACUG